UACAGAGGUCUCAAGCGUUGUUCGGAUUCAUUGGGCGUAAAGGGUGUGUAGGUGGCGCGCUAAGUCGGGUGUGAAAUUUCGGAGCUUAACUCCGAAACUGCAUUCGAUACUGGCGUGCUUGAGGACUGGAGAGGAGACUGGAAUUCAUGGUGUAGCAGUGAAAUGCGUAGAUAUCAGGAGGAACACCAAUGGCGAAGGCAGCUCGCUGGGACGGUACUGACGCUGAUGCGCGAAAGCGUGGGGAGCAAACAGG
rnacentral:rRNA from 1 species